rnacentral:pre_miRNA from 1 species
CUUGGGGGUGGGGAGACCCUCAGCCUGGAUUGCGAGAGGGUGCAGGCCAGUCUGAGGGACCCCACUGGUGCAUG